GUACACGCUGUGACUAGCAUAUCAAUAAGCGGAGGAAAAGAAACUAACAAGGAUUCCCCUAGUAACGGCGAGUGAAGCGGGAAGAGCUCAAAUUUGAAAUCUUAAAGGGUUUCCCUUUACGAAUUGUAGUUUAAAGAAGUGUUUUCUGUUGAGGUUUUGGUAAAAGUUCUUUGGAAUAGGACAUCAUAGAGGGUGAGAAUCCCGUAUUUGACCUUUACUUUCAACUUUGUGAUACACUUUCAAAGAGUCGGAUUGUUUGGGAAUGCAGUCCAAAAUGGGUGGUAAAUUUCAUCUAAAGCUAAAUAUUGGCGAGAGACCGAUAGCGAACAAGUACCGUGAGGGAAAGAUGAAAAGAACUUUGAAAAGAGAGUUAAACAGUACGUGAAAUUGUCAAAAGGGAAGCGUUUGACACCAGUGUUGUUUUUCUGAAAAUCAAUUAAAGAACUGUUUAUGCUAAGUUGUUUAGACUUUAUCAGCUAACUGUUUAGUUUUGAGCUUUUCUUUAAUGCACUUUUCAGUUAACAAGUCAACAUCAAUUUCUUUUGCUGUAAAAAAGCUUGAGGAAGGUGGCUUGAGAUUCGUCUUAAGUGUUUAUAGCCUCUUGCCUAUGCAGUCGGAGAGAUUGAGGUCUGCAGCGUAGAUCCUUCGGGGCUAAAUGCAUUUGUGCUAAGUUAUAGCAUUUUAUAGACAACUUGUUGACUAUGAUUUGUCUUGUAGCUUACUCGCUUAUGUUAUUUUACCUACGCUUAGGAUGUUGAGUCGUAGAGCACGCAG
rnacentral:rRNA from 1 species